UUCAGAUUAGUCCCAUAAAAUUUUAUCGAAAUCAGUAUAGUAGUUUAAUUAUUAUAUCGAAAUAACUGGUAUUGCCAUGAUCUUAAAUUGUACUAGUUGUAUUCGCGAUUCUGUGCGCGUCAAGAAGCCAAAGGUCAGUCAGCCACGUCUUUCUCCACAUCAACUGCUGCGUGUAUGUCAAAUUUCAUGACAGUUGUUGGAUUCGUUAAGGCGCCAAACGAAAUGUUGCAUAUCUGGGUCGCAGUGCUGCAACAACUGUUGCACGGAGCAGGCGCCGGCGAGUUGCGGUACGCUGCUACCGCUCACUAGCAGCGACUGCGGCGAUGUCACGCGCGACACUACCGCUUCUAUUUCAGCUGUCAGUGACUGUAAUAAAUAUAAAAUAUUAUGUUGUAGAUUUUACAUACUUAUUAUUACAAAUAAUAUCUUAAAAAAAAUUUUGAAGUACUAUCACUAUCCCUUGUCUAAUAUCUUAAAAGCUAAGCAAGCAAUAUAAUUUAUUUUUAAAUAAAUAAAUAAUAAAUUUAUUGUCAUUCUUUACAAACAUACAGAUAUUACAAUAUACAUAUAUUUAUUAAUAAAUACAAAUAAGGGAACUGGAAAAUGUAGUGUGAUAUAAUCAGACCCAUACAUUAUUUUCAAUCAUCUUUAAAGAGGAGAUAGUUAUCAAAACAAUAUAAAUUUACUUCAACAUGUUAAUAUUUUAAUAUAUUUUUUAUUGUGUGUCAAAUCAUUGACAUUGUCAUGCAAAUGUUUUAAUUACUGUAUAUAAAAAAGAAUCACGAUUAAUUCUAUAUUUUGUGUUUAAUGAAAAUAAAACGCUUUAGUAACAAUAGAAUCCUAUAUCUAGGCAAUAAGGUAUAUUUUAAAAUAGACAAUCUGACCACUAACCUGGUUGUCUAAGGAGCUGACUGAAUUCUUCUUUAAAUCUUCUUUUAUGACAUGUAGUUGGUAGUGAGUAGGAAUAUGCUGGAAACAGAAUAUUAUUUGCUAUUAUGAAAAGGUUCUUUUGGCACUUUUCUUUCUUUAGGACCUAUUUCUCUCUACUGGGGUUUCUCUCUAAUGAAUAAAAUUAAAAUAAAUGGAUAACUUUUACCAACAGUGUAUAAUAAGCAUCCUGCUUAUAAGAACAAAAAAAAUAAUAAUAAUAAAUAAAUUGGCUCAGCAAGCCAUGUGGCUUCGAAAUUUUUUUUUUUUUUCUAUUAUUAACAUAUUGGUACUGAAACUAGAACAAUUACUAUGUAAUUUUAGAACUUAGUUAAUUGUUUUAUAGGUUUUAUAUCAAAAUUAUGUUUACAUACUAUAACAAUUACAACUUACUACAUAAAUAAAAUAUUAAUUUAUGUUUGUAUAAAAUGUGUGAUUAAAAAAUUUUGAAAAUAAAACUCAAAAGGAAAAUCCUAAAGCAAAGCAUCUAUCACAGUACAAAAACUAGAAUCGUAUUACUUAAGAGAGAAGAUUCUAUUUGCGUAAAAAAUAACUGUCCUUAAUAAUAAAAAAUGCAAAAAUAUUUGUUUUUAAAAUUUUUAUGUGUUUAACACUUACAUUAGUAUCGGCAAGCAUUAAUAUGCGAUGUACGUGCGGUUGAUCCGUAGUGUCUGGUGACAAUCGAUUUAAACAAUCCGGAUACAUCUCAGCCAACACCACGGCAUUCUCUCCACCGAGGAUGUAUUUGCUCUGUUCUAAUACAGCCAACUCUUCUAAUCUGUCAUAGAUAUGGUUUGCUAUUUUUGGCUUUACUUCUGCAAUUAAGACAAUUUAUUUCCUAUAGGUAUUUAUAAUUAGACAUUUAUUAAUUAAAAAUUGUUAUAGAAUUUAUGAAAAUCAACAGCUUGGACUUUUUUGCCAAUUACAUAGUACCUAAAUAUUAGAAUUACUCUGUGAUUUUUUACCUUAAUAUAUAAAAAUGCUGUGCCACAGUGUUUGAUCAUUUUACUUGCACAUUUCAUUGCAGUACCUAUUGUUUUACUAAAUUUGUUAUAAAAUUUUAAUUUAUUAUUAAUAUUACAGUAUAAACAAUGUGACAACAAAUCUGAACAACCAGAGAUCCAAUAUGUUUAACAUAUCUUAAUGAAUUAUAUGACAAUUCUAGAUAAAUCAUUAUCUAGAUGUGUCGGAACAACUGGUUAGAUAAUUGAAUUCUUUAGACUGUGUUAAUGUUAUGAAAUUAUGGCUAAUCUUAACAAUUUUUUUUUUAUAAUGUAAUACCAACCAGAUUAUCUUACAUCUUAGACUCAUGACUGAGGGCCCCAUGUGGUCCUCAAACUAGUUUAACUGUAUUGCUUAAAAUGUAAUGUAAGUUAAUCUGGUCGUAAUUUUAAUGUACUGAACAUUAAAAUAUAAUGUGUACUUAUGAAAUUUUAACAAUAAAAUCUUCAUUAUUGUAAUAAA